UGGCACUCCAGAUGUUUUAGAUUACACCUCCCAUGAUGCUUUGCCAGCAUUAUGGGGGGGAUGUAGUCCACAACAUCUGGAGUGCCA